UUGUUUGUUGUUUGUUCAAAAAGCGGCACGCGGCGUAGUACAAGGCUUGAUCAUUUUUUAAGAAAUUUUUGAUUGUUAAUUUUAUUUUUUUGCAAACUAAACAGUUGUUUUUUAUUAAAAAAUAGCAGACAAAGAAAUUAUACCAUCCAGCCCUCCUAUUUAAUUAUUAAAUAAAAGUGUGAAAGAGAUAUCAAGGGCUAUUCUGUUAAAAUGUCAUCCGACCAGUCUAGGCCCUGUUGUGAACCAGAAGGUGUGCUAAGUUGGAUGUUGGAUAUAGAAUGGAAGGAAUAUCAUGGCCGAGAACAAGGCAUAAUUGUAUGUCCCUUGAUGUAGGGGGGCCUGUAAAGGUAAAUAAUUCCUGGAGCCAUCUCGAGGUAUAGUACUCAAGUCGGAGCGAAUCAAUUGAUAGCACGAUGAAAA